GCUUACGGCCAUACCACCCUGAACACGCCCGAUCUCGUCCGAUCUCGGAAGCUAAGCAGGUCGGCCUGGUUAGUACUUGGAUGGGAGACCGCCUGGGAAUACCAGGUGCUGUAAGCU
rnacentral:rRNA from 1 species